ensembl:lincRNA
CACCACCACACCCGGCUAAUGUUUUGUAUUUUUAGUAGAGAUGGGGUUUCACUAUGUUGGCCAGACAGGUCUCGAACUCCUGACCUAGUGAUCCACCCACCUUGUCUUCCCAAAGUGCUGGGAUUACAGGCGUGAGCCAUGGCUCCCAGCCAGGGAGGGGAAUUGAAGGGUGCUCCCCUGGAGCUGGGAUUGGGCAUCUGGGUGCCCUCAGGUCUGCAGGUUUUGAUGUGAGCCCAGGGAUCCUUGGUGUUUCAGAUGCAGAAGAUUUUUUCAGGCAUGCGGGGCUUCACCUUCAAAGGUGUGGAGAUCCUGUCCCUGAGGAAUGGCAGCAUCGUGGUGGACUACCUGGUCCUGCUGGAGCUGCCCUUCAGCGCCCAGCUGGAGAGCCAGUACGAGCAGGCGAAGACGACGCUGAAGGAGGCGCUGCAGAAUGCCAGCCAGGAUGCGGACAGCUGCCAGGACUCCCAGACCCUGUGUUUUAAGCCUGACUCCAUCAAAGUGAACAACAACAGCAGGACAGAGCUGACCUCGGAAGCCAUCUGCCGCCGCGCCGCUCCCGCGGGCUAUGAGGAGUUCUACUUCCCCUUGGUGGAGGCCACCAGGCUCCGCUGUGUCACCAAUUGCACGUCGGGCGUGGACAACGCCAUCAACUGUCACCAGGGCCAGUGCGUUCUGGAGAGGAGCGGUCCCACCUGUCGCUGCUACUCCACGGACACGCACUGGUUCUCCGGCCCGCGCUGCGAGGUGGCCAUCCACUGGAGGGCGCUGGUCGGGGGCCUGACGGCGGGCGCCGCGCUGCUGCUGCUGCUGCUGCUGGCGCUGGGCUUCUGGGCGGUUCGCUCUGGAUGGUGGGGCGGUCAGCGCCUAGACCGGUGAGCGCUCAGAGGGCGGGGCCGGGGGGUGAGGGCGGCCAAGGGACCCCAGGCGGGCCCGCUAUGUCUGACCGCGGCGGCCCCACCUAGGUCCUGGGACCAGGACAGGAAAUGGUUCGAGACCUGGGAUGAGGAAGUCGUGGGCACUUUUUCAAACUGGGGUUUCCAGGACGACGAAAACCCAGGUGAGUCCCACGUCCUGGGGAAGCAGGCAGGGGCUUUCCUGGGCAACACUGCGAGGACAGACGCCCUUCCUGCCUUCCUCGCAUUUACUCCAUCCCCCUCUCUCUUCCGUCCCCUCCCUCUCCCCUUCUCUUUCUCCCCUCUUCUCUGUCUCUCUCUAGACAAGGAUAAAAAUUUCCAUGUGGCCUUGGAGAAGGUGGACACCACUAUGAAGGUGAGGGGCUAAAGUGGGGGACCCCAAGGAACUCUCCCAGCCUCCACCCAGAUUCCCUCCGCGACCCCCAGAGGGCAAGGAGGGGGCUGGGCUCGGAUCAGCAGUGACCUCCCUGUCAGCCCAAACCAGUGGCUCCGCCUUCCCUUCCCUCACUGUGACUCUGUGACAGGUGCACAUCAAGAGACCCGAGACGACCUCGUCCUCAGUGUGAGCCCUGCGGGCCCCGUCACCAUCGCCUCUGCCCUGCCCGGGACACAAGGCUCUGCACUGCGUCCAUUUCAAGUGGUGGCCCCAGGACGUGGGCAGCUCAGGCUCCUGCUGUUCUUGGGCAAAAUGAAACUGUUCCCCCAAAUCCCAUCCUUGUCUUUCCAACUUGGCUGAAACCCAUCAGGAGAUGCAGUUCAGGUGCAGGCUCUUCCACUGCGGAACCUUGGGCAAGUCAGUAAGGAGCCUCAGUUUCCUCACCUGCAAAAUGGGUACAACAUUCCUGUGUGAUAUCUCACACCAUUGUUGUGUAAACCACAGGGACUUGGUCAAUUCUGGGUCCUACUCUGCCCUCCCGUCUCAGCCCUCAUGUUGCCAUUGCCUCUCUCGGAUCCUCCAAUCCUCAUGUCCUUCGCCUGGUCUCCGGCCCUGGUUCCUAUUUUCUCUCAAUUCCCUACUGCCUGUUUCUUACUUUGAACCUGGAGGCAGCCUGCAGCCCAUCCCAUCUCCUGUCCUCUCCUGAUCUAACUCCCUGCUGUGUCUCUUGCUGUCAUUCCUUAGAUGUCCUCUCCUUCUGACACCGUUCCUUCAAGCAUCCUGCCCCCCGGUCCCCCAGCCCUAAAUCCUCCCUCCUCUCCUCACAUCCUGGUCCCUAGCAAGGUAUAGAUAGCCUCUGUGUCUUAGGAUACCCCAGCUGCUGUUCCCCCCAUCACCCCAUUGCCCAAUUCCCCGUUUCUCUUGUUCUUAUUCCUUGUAUCUUCUCCCCUUCUGAGCCGGUCCAUUCAUCGGUUCUGCCUCUACUCCCCCAGCCCUAAAUACCCCGACUGCUGUUUCCCCCCAUCACCCCCCUACCCGAUUCUCCAUUCUCCACCCCUUUCUCUCACCCCUGGAGCCCCCUGGGGGGUUCAGGGCAUGAAUUCCCCAGUCCCCAAGGAAAGGCAGCCCCCUCAGUCCCCCUCCUCCUCACUCCCUUCAAUCUCCCUCCCCUCUCACCUCACCACUGCCUUUUAAACCCAUCCCCUCCUUUUCCCCUCCUCCCCCCUCUCUGGCUGGUGUCACCUCGAUUCCUGCGGUAACUCUGACUCCUGAAAUCCUCAAUCUCCUUGGCCGCGAAGAUCGGCUUCGGGGACCGGAAGUCGGCACAUCUCCAGGUCUCCAUGUGAACACAGUAUAGAGUUUAUUGUAAAAGAAGCUGCUCUGUGUCUGUCUCCCUUUCACCCCGCAGUGCUCUCCACCUGAUUGGAGAACAGGGAUUUCCAGAGGCGGCGCUGUAGGAGGAUCCUGGGAUCACUCAUGUCUUCCAGGGAGGAAGGAAGGGGUCUGUGGGCAGCUCUUAGAGGCCAUGACAUUCCUCAUAGAAAACACAGAGGUUGGGGGGAACCCAUUUUGUUGGGGAGUGACUCGGGGCAGGGGCCCCUUGGGCUUUGUCAUCUGUGCUCUCCCCACCCCCACCACUGCCCUGACCUUGACACUGGGGGCUUAGGGAGCAAUUAGACCGCUGGUGCUGGUUCAGGGAGUUGGGUGGUCCAGGGGCUAGGGCUGCCUGGUCCAGUCACCCUUUACAAGGAUGGGUAAAGCUGGACCUCCCCAAAGAUCUGGAUUCCCCACAAGGCUCCCAAAACCUGAUAGCAAACGCACACAACAGAGCCUGUCUGUGCUGGCACAGGGCCCUUCUGUUCCUGCUGUUGCAGGCAGUCAGGCCUGCCUGAGGAGUCGAGGGUGUUCAGAAAUAACAUGUCUCCUUGGGUCUUUGGGUGCGGGCUUGGGAGAGGCCCCUGUGAUGUUUGCCCUGGGCAGGGACGGGCCAUGGCCUUUCGUCACCUCUGUGUCUGGCCAGGGGUGGAGACCAGGACCAUAAAGUCUCAGGUGUGAGUGGGCACCCCGCCCAGAAGAAGGGCUGGAAGCUGGGGACCCCAGGGAAAGCCCUGGACAUUUGGAAAGGACCAUGUCGAGGCGGGGAAUGGGGAGGGAUUGCUGGAAGAGAGAGGGGCUUCUCGG